rnacentral:tRNA from 1 species
GCCAAGGUGGCGGAGUCCGGUUUAACGCGCUUGCCUCGAAAGCAGGUGUCCGCAAGGACGCGUAGGUUCGAAUCCUGCCCUUGGCG